rnacentral:rRNA from 1 species
UGGGGAAUUUUGGACAAUGGGGGAAACCCUGAUCCAGCCAUCCCGCGUGUGCGAUGAAGGCCUUCGGGUUGUAAAGCACUUUUGGCAGGAAAGAAACGUCGCGGGUUAAUACCCCGCGGAACUGACGGUACCUGCAGAAUAAGCACCGGCUAACUACGUGCCAGCAGCCGCGGUAAUACGUAGGGUGCAAGCGUUAAUCGGAAUUACUGGGCGUAAAGCGUGCGCAGGCGGUUCGGAAAGAAAGAUGUGAAAUCCCAGAGCUUAACUUUGGAACUGCAUUUUUAACUACCGGGCUAGAGUGUGUCAGAGGGAGGUGGAAUUCCGCGUGUAGCAGUGAAAUGCGUAGAUAUGCGGAGGAACACCGAUGGCGAAGGCAGCCUCCUGGGAUAACACUGACGCUCAUGCACGAAAGCGUGGGGAGCAAACAGGAUUAGAUACCCUGGUAGUCCACGCCCUAAACGAUGUCAACUAGCUGUUGGGGUCUUCGGACCUUGGUAGCGCAGCUAACGCGUGAAGUUGACCGCCUGGGGAGUACGGUCGCAAGAUUAAAACUUAAAUGAAUUGACGGGGUCAUAGCUGUUUCCU